GAUGAACGCUGGCGGCGUGCCUAAUACAUGCAAGUCGAGCGAACAGACGAGGAGCUUGCUCCUCUGACGUUAGCGGCGGACGGGUGAGUAACACGUGGAUAACCUACCUAUAAGACUGGGAUAACUUCGGGAAACCGGAGCUAAUACCGGAUAAUAUAUUGAACCGCAUGGUUCAAUAGUGAAAGACGGUUUUGCUGUCACUUGUAGAUGGAUCCGCGCCGCAUUAGCUAGUUGGUAAGGUAACGGCUUACCAGGGCAACGAUGCGUAGCCGACCUGAGAGGGUGAUCGGCCACACUGGAACUGAGACACGGUCCAGACUCCUACGGGAGGCAGCAGUAGGGAAUCUUCCGCAAUGGGCGAAAGCCUGACGGAGCAACGCCGCGUGAGUGAUGAAGGUCUUCGGAUCGUAAAACUCUGUUAUUAGGGAAGAACAAAUGUGUAAGUAACUAUGCACGUCUUGACGGUACCUAAUCAGAAAGCCACGGCUAACUACGUG
rnacentral:rRNA from 1 species